rnacentral:ncRNA from 1 species
UUUUAUAAGAAUAUGAUGUUGGUUCAGAUUAAGCGCUAAAUAAGGACAUGACACAUGCGAAUCAUACGUUUAUUAUUGAUAAGAUAAUAAAUAUGUGGUGUAAACGUGAGUAAUUUUAUUAGGAAUUAAUGAACUAUAGAAUAAGCUAAAUACUUAAUAUAUUAUUAUAUAAAAAUAAUUUAUAUAAUAAAAAGGAUAUAUAUAUAAUAUAUAUUUAUCUAUAGUCAAGCCAAUAAUGGUUUAGGUAGUAGGUUUAUUAAGAGUUAAACCUAGCCAACGAUCCAUAAUCGAUAAUGAAAGUUAGAACGAUCACGUUGACUCUGAAAUAUAGUCAAUAUCUAUAAGAUACAGCAGUGAGGAAUAUUGGACAAUGAUCGAAAGAUUGAUCCAGUUACUUAUUAGGAUGAUAUAUAAAAAUAUUUUUAUUUUAUUUAUAAAUAUUAAAUAUUUAUAAUAAUAAUAAUAUAUAUAUAUAUAAAUUGAUUAAAAAUAAAAUCCAUAAAUAAUUAAAAUAAUGAUAUUAAUUACCAUAUAUAUUUUUAUAUGGAUAUAUAUAUUAAUAAUAAAAUUAAUUUAUUAUUAUUAAUAAUAUAUUUUAAUAGUCCUGACUAAUAUUUGUGCCAGCAGUCGCGGUAACACAAAGAGGGCGAGCGUUAAUCAUAAUGGUUUAAAGGAUCCGUAGAAUGAAUUAUAUAUUAUAAUUUAGAGUUAAUAAAAUAUAAUUAAAGAAUUAUAAUAGUAAAGAUGAAAUAAUAAUAAUAAUUAUAAGACUAAUAUAUGUGAAAAUAUUAAUUAAAUAUUAACUGACAUUGAGGGAUUAAAACUAGAGUAGCGAAACGGAUUCGAUACCCGUGUAGUUCUAGUAGUAAACUAUGAAUACAAUUAUUUAUAAUAUAUAUUAUAUAUAAAUAAUAAAUGAAAAUGAAAGUAUUCCACCUGAAGAGUACGUUAGCAAUAAUGAAACUCAAAACAAUAGACGGUUACAGACUUAAGCAGUGGAGCAUGUUAUUUAAUUCGAUAAUCCACGACUAACCUUACCAUAUUUUGAAUAUUAUAAUAAUUAUUAUAAUUAUUAUAUUACAGGCGUUACAUUGUUGUCUUUAGUUCGUGCUGCAAAGUUUUAGAUUAAGUUCAUAAACGAACAAAACUCCAUAUAUAUAAUUUUAAUUAUAUAUAAUUUUAUAUUAUUUAUUAAUAUAAAGAAAGGAAUUAAGACAAAUCAUAAUGAUCCUUAUAAUAUGGGUAAUAGACGUGCUAUAAUAAAAUGAUAAUAAAAUUAUAUAAAAUAUAUUUAAUUAUAUUUAAUUAAUAAUAUAAAACAUUUUAAUUUUUAAUAUAUUUUUUUAUUAUAUAUUAAUAUGAAUUAUAAUCUGAAAUUCGAUUAUAUGAAAAAAGAAUUGCUAGUAAUACGUAAAUUAGUAUGUUACGGUGAAUAUUCUAACUGUUUCGCACUAAUCACUCAUCACGCGUUGAAACAUAUUAUUAUCUUAUUAUUUAUAUAAUAUUUUUUAAUAAAUAUUAAUAAUUAUUAAUUUAUAUUUAUUUAUAUCAGAAAUAAUAUGAAUUAAUGCGAAGUUGAAAUACAGUUACCGUAGGGGAACCUGCGGUGGGCUUAUAAAUAUC